rnacentral:tRNA from 1 species
GGGCAGGUGGCGGAACGGGUAGACGCGCCAGAUUUAGGGUCUGGUGCCGCGAGGCGUGAGGGUUCGAGUCCCUCCCUGCCCACCA